rnacentral:rRNA from 1 species
AUACGGAGGAUCCGAGCGUUAUCCGGAUUUAUUGGGUUUAAAGGGUGCGCAGGCGGCCAUUUAAGUCAGCGGUUAAAUCGUGGGGCUCAACCCCAUUCUGCCGUUGAUACUGGGUGGCUUGAUUGCGGUCGAGGUUGGCGGAAUUCGUUGUGUAGCGGUGAAAUGCAUAGAUAUGACGAAGAACACCGAUUGCGUAGGCAGCUGACCAGACCGCAAAUGACGCUCAUGCACGAAAGUGCGGGGAUCGAACAGGAUUAGAUACCCUGGUAGCCCGCACAGUAAACGAUGAAUACUUGUUUUCGGCGAUAUAAUGUCGGAGGCAAAGCGAAAGCGAUAAGUAUUCCACCUGGGGAGUACGCCGGCAACGGUGAAACUCAAAUGAAUUGACGGGG